rnacentral:misc_RNA from 1 species
AAGUCGUAACAAGGUUUCCGUAGGUGAACCUGCGGAAGGAUCAUUAUCAAUAAUCCGAAACUUUUUUUUUAGUAUUCUUCAUUGAAUAUUAAAAAAAAAUAUCAACCAACCGUGAACUGUUUUGCCUCCAACGAGGAAAGGUUUGAACGUGCAGGUGAUGCUUGCAUUAGUACUUUCUUUGUUGGUUGUAUUUUUUAAAUUUAAUUUUUAUUAACCAUUCUAACAAAACCUUUUUAAACUUUAAUUCUGAACUGAAUUAAUUUUCUUUUUUCCUAUUUAUUUAGGGAAAACUAAAAUAAAAAUACGAAAAAUUAUUAGAACAACUCUUAGCAACGGAUAUCUUGGUUCUC